GCUUCCAAUUUCUCUCCAUUUCUCUCUUCAAAUCUUCAUUUGUAAAUCACAGCUUUGAAUUGGUAAUGGUUUUUCCUUUCUUCUCUUUGGUUUUUGAAAUUUUCUUUUCACUUUCCCGUUAAUUUCUCACUUCGCCCUUUUUUAUGUUUGCUUCAGUGAAGAAAUUUCUUCUUAUACGCUGCGUCGUGGGUCCGGUGCUUCGCUUGUUCGCGGUUGUAUCGCAUGUUUUGAUGUUGGCUUUCAUGGUGUCCACGAGCCCAGGGGCGCGUCGGAGGUCGGUGUUUGUUGCUAAGAGGGAAACCACCACCAACAUAGAGCUCCUCCCCAACGACAUCGCCACCUCCCCCGUAGUCGCGACUUCCGGCGAAGGUGCCAUGGGCAUCAGGCACGACCUUAGCCACCACGAACCUU
rnacentral:lncRNA from 1 species